rnacentral:rRNA from 1 species
GACGAACGCUGGCGGUGCGCCUUAUGCAUGCAAGUCGAGCGAAGCUUUUCAGUAGUUUACUACAGAAAAUGACUGAGCGGCGAACGGGUGAGUAACGCGUGAGCAAUCUACCUUAGUUACAGGGAUAGCCCGAGGAAACUCGGAUUAAUACCUGAUAUUCUUUACAUUUCGCAUGAAAUCAAAAGGAAAGGUCAGCCGAACUAAGAUGAGCUCGCGUUCUAUCAGCUAGUUGGUGAGGUAAAAGCUCACCAAGGCAACGACGGAUAGCUGGUCUGAGAGGACGAUCAGCCACACUGGGACUGAGACACGGCCCAGACUCCUACGGGAGGCUGCAGCAGGGAAUAUUGCGCAAUGAGCGAAAGCUUGACGCAGCGACACCGCGUGUGGGAUGACGGAUCUAGGUUUGUAAACCACUUUCAGGAGGGAAGAAAAUGACGGUACCUCCACAAGAAGCCCCGGCCAACUACGUGCCAGCCGCCGCCGUAACAC